AAUAAAUAACCGAUUAAGCAUUAGAAUCAAUGUUUUGCCUAUGAAAAAGUAUCAAUGGUUAUGUCAUACAUGUAUGCAAAGUUAUCGUUUAUGGAUACAUGAUAUUUCCUAUUUAAUAUUGCAUUAUUUUGACUUAGUAUGCUGGUUUCUUCCGCAUUAUCACGGACCUUAAUAUAAAUCCGUGGCAUUAUUAAUGCUAAAUGCUUAAUUACACAAACGGUAUCUAGGCAUAUCACGCGUUUUCAAAACAGCCAAUGAGUUUGAAGCGUUGGUUUUGUAUGACGUGAAUCCUAUCAACCAAUCAGAAAUAGCGCGGGCGAAAUGAAAAAAGAAAAACGCGAUUGGAAAUGGAUGGUUAAUAAAAUUCAGAAUAUUGCAAAACAAGGACAGUGUACAGCGUGUUUAAAUCUUCCAGAAAUGCAGCUGUGCCCUCUUUACAGCAAUUAUAGAUGAAGCAAAGUAUGGUAGCAAGUAAUAUAGAUAUACACACAUGCCGAAGAAGAUUGUAAUAUCUGGAGAAAACAUUUCCUACGUCACGAAAUAGACACCGUCACACUGGUCUACGUAUCAUUCCUAUAGAUGAUUGAUAUAUUUAACUGCUUUUAAGAACAGUGUUUGAAUGACGAAUUUCUGUGAAUACGGAUUUUUAAUUUUAAUGAUUAUUAUUAAAACUUUCCGUAAUUAUCAAUUUGUGCUAUGGACUCAUUUUCCUAAAAUAAUAUGUGAAUGUUAACACGAACAAAUGAUAUGAAUAUCUUUAAAAUGUUUUAUGGGUGUAAUAUAAGUGGCUCAUAUGAAUCAUUGUUAAGAUAAAUCGAAAAGAACUUCAAGUUAGCAUAGUUUGUUCUAGAUUUAAACAACAUGCAAUUCAUAAAGGUUACGGCUUGAAAAUAUCGAAAAAUGUACAUGUAUAAUUCGAUCUCUGAAGAAAAUAUCGCGGUGCGGAUGUUCUGCACUGUGAUACGUAUUUUAUGACUCUGUAUCGCAACAUGCCGGUAUAUCGCCUUUCCGUUGCAACGCUACAUUAAUGUGUCCCUCUGGAAUAAGGCUUACAACAAUAUAUGACUAUUGUAGCGAAGACAUGUUUAUUUUGUUUUAUAUAUGUAUACAUAUUGAAUAUAUAUGUUUAUGAAAUAAUAAAUAUUUAAGAGUGACUCGAUUUGGUUUUUACUUUUAAAUUAUUAUUUGAAAUACUUCAAUUGUGAAGAUAAAGUUUUUAAGCAU